GAUGAACGCUGGCGGCGUGCCUAAUACAUGCAAGUCGAGCGAACGGACGAGAAGCUUGCUUCUCUGAUGUUAGCGGCGGACGGGUGAGUAACACGUGGAUAACCUACCUAUAAGACUGGGAUAACUUCGGGAAACCGGAGCUAAUACCGGAUAAUAUUAUGAAAAGCAUGGUUCAAAAGUGAAAGACGGUCUUGCUGUCACUUAUAGAUGGAUCCGCGCUGCAUUAGCUAGUUGGUAAGGUAACGGCUUACCAAGGCAACGAUGCAUAGCCGACCUGAGAGGGUGAUCGGCCACACUGGAACUGAGACACGGUCCAGACUCCUACGGGAGGCAGCAGUAGGGAAUCUUCCGCAAUGGGCGAAAGCCUGACGGAGCAACGCCGCGUGAGUGAUGAAGGUCUUCGGAUCGUAAAGCUCUGUUAUUAGGGAAGAACAUAUGUGUAAGUAACUGUGCACAGCUUGACGGUACCUAAUCAGAAAGCCACGGCUAACUACGUG
rnacentral:rRNA from 1 species